AACGAACGCUGGCGGCAGGCCUAAUACAUGCAAGUCGAACGCCCUCUUCGGAGGGAGUGGCAGACGGGUGAGUAACACGUGGGAACGUACCCUUCGGUUCGGGAUAACUCAGGGAAACUUGUGCUAAUACCGAAUACGUCCGAGAGGAGAAAGAUUUAUCGCCGAAGGAUCGGCCCGCGUUUGAUUAGCUUGUUGGUGAGGUAACGGCUCACCAAGGCGACGAUCAAUAGCCGGUCUGAGAGGAUGAUCAGCCACACUGGGACUGAGACACGGCCCAG
rnacentral:rRNA from 1 species